rnacentral:rRNA from 1 species
UACGGAGGAUCCAAGCGUUAUCCGGAUUUAUUGGGUUUAAAGGGUGCGUAGGCGGAAUAAUAAGUCAGUGGUGAAAGCCUGUCGCUUAACGAUAGAACUGCCAUUGAUACUGUUAAUCUAGAGUCCGUUUGAAGUGGGCGGAAUGUGCAGUGUAGCGGUGAAAUGCUUAGAUAUUGCACAGAACACCGAUUGCGAAGGCAGCUCACUAAACCGGUACUGACGCUGAGGCACGAAAGCGUGGGGAUCAAACAGG